rnacentral:tRNA from 1 species
GCUCUAGUAGCUUAAAUAUUUAAAGCAUUGCCCUUGUAAGCCAAAGCUGGAUCACCCCUAGAGCA